CCCCCGUCCCAUUUUAAGUGUGUUCAAUGUUUGUUCGUCCGUCUUAUUUAAAAUAAUUUUCUGAUUAGUAUUUUUAUUGUUGUUAGAUGAUAAAAAUAAAUAGUACUUUAUAUGUGACUUAUUUUUUUAUAUUUUUUUUUCAAAUAAUACAAAUGGUCAAACGUUGGACACAGAAAAAACACAUGGG
rnacentral:pre_miRNA from 1 species